rnacentral:rRNA from 1 species
UACGGAGGGUGCGAGCGUUGUCCGGAAUCAUUGGGCGUAAAGCGCGUGUAGGCGGCCCGGUAAGUCCGCUGUGAAAGUCGGGGGCUCAACCCUCGGAUGCCGGUGGAUACUGUCGGGCUCGAGUACGGAAGAGGCGAGUGGAAUUCCUGGUGUAGCGGUGAAAUGCGCAGAUAUCAGGAGGAACACCGAUUGCGAAGGCAGCUCGCUGGGACGUGACUGACGCUGAGACGCGAAAGCGUGGGGAGCAAACAGG